GAUCUUGCACAAUGGGGGAAACCCUGAUGCAGCGACGCCGCGUGGGCGAAGAAGGCCUUCGGGUCGUAAAGCCCUUUUCUGGGUGACGAGGAAGGACGGUAGCCCAGGAAGAAGUCUCGGCUAACUACGUGCCAGCAGCCGCGGUAAAACGUAGGAGGCAAGCGUUAUCCGGAGUUACUGGGCGUAAAGCGCGCGCAGGCGGUUAGGCAAGUUGGGUGUGAAAGCUCCCGGCUAAACCGGGAGAGUGCAUUCAAGACUGCCUGGCUAGAGGACGGUAGAGGGGCGCAGAAUUCGGGGUGUAGCGGUGAAAUGUGUAGAUAUCGGGAGGAAUACCCGUGGCGAAGGCGACCUUCUGGACCGUUUCUGACGCUCAGAUGCGAAAGCUAGGGGAGCGAACGGG
rnacentral:rRNA from 1 species